rnacentral:rRNA from 1 species
GACGAACGCUGGCGGCGUGCCUAACACAUGCAAGUCGAACGGACAGGCCCUGCUCUUGUGGGGUGCUCGAUUGGCGAACGGGUGAGUAACACGCGUGUAACCUGUCCCUGUCUUUGGGAUAACUUUAGGAAACUGGGGCUAUUAUCCGAUAGGAGCUCUUGCUGCACGGUGGUGGUUGGUAAGUUUCGGUGGUUGGGGAUGGUCUCGCGGCUUAUCAGCUUGUUGGUGGGGUAGUGGCUUACCAAGGCUUUGACGGGUAGCCGGCCUGAGAGGGUGACCGGCCACAUUGGGACUGAGAUACGGCCCAGACUCCUACGGGAGGCAGCAGUGGGGAAUAUUGCACAAUGGGCGGAAGCCUGAUGCAGCAACGCCGCGUGCGGGAUGACGGCCUUCGGGUUGUAAACCGCUUUCGCCUGUGACGAAGCGUGAGUGACGGUAAUGAGUAAAGAAGCACCGGCUAACUACGUG